rnacentral:rRNA from 1 species
UACGGGGGGAGCAAGCGUUGUUCGGAUUUACUGGGCGUAAAGGGCGCGUAGGCGGCGUGACAAGUCACUUGUGAAAUCUCCGGGCUUAACUCGGAACGGUCAAGUGGUACUGUCGUGCUAGAGUACAGAAGGGGCAACUGGAAUUCUCGGUGUAGCGGUGAAAUGCGUAGAUAUCGAGAGGAACACCGGUGGCGAAGGCGGCACCCUGGACCGGCAUUGACGCUGAGGCGCGAAAGCCAGGGGAGCAAACGGG